UUUAAAACUGUGUAGCAGCGUCUCACUCUCUAUUGCUUCUGCUUUCGCCAUGUGACAUGCCUGCUCCCCUUCACCUUCUGCCAUGAUUUAAGCUUCUGGAGGCCUCCCCAGAAGGAGAUGCCACUAUGCUUCCUGUAUAACCUGCAGAACGCUGUGAAGCUUUUCUGGAUAAGGGUCAAGGAUAUCCUCAUGACUAAAUGAAAUCCUAUUACGGAUACAAUUUCUUUAUAAGAGAUCUUAAGAAAAUAUCAAAACUCCCAGAAGCCUUCCUCUUUUACUUUUGCCUUUUUACAUCUGUCUCCUCAUCGCCUGUUCACUCACUGAGACACCCGUAAGUGCCACUACAGAGAGGAGGAGAGAGCUGUGUGUGUGGAGGGUGUCUCCACACUGCCUGUGUGCAGUGUGUGCUGCAGAUGUACAGGAUUCGCUGAUCCCCAGAAGAGGACUGAAGAGAGACCAGAGCUGAGUGAGAAAUCGUAUUGUACUAACAAGCAGUCAUUGGGAAAUCAUUUCAAGACUUUGACAAUAAUUUCCCAGCAGUUGGUUGUCUAGAAAAGGGAAGGAAAAAAGGAGAGAAAGCAAUAGUAUUUUAUACUGAAUACUAAAUAAUUCCAUAUGACAAUGCAAAUCAAUUUUGAAUGCUAGAAACUUAGAAAUUAAAGCCCACUCAGCCAUUAGGUUGUCUGUCUUGAUCAAGAAGGCGUGGAGAGUCUCUGCCUCGGAAGGAAAUGUAGAAAAGGAAUUUGAAGGAGGGAGGCUUAAAAGAAGAGCAUUUUUCAGUUUGUUCCAAAUGAAAGCCACUGCAAGUCAGUUACACAGAGCUAAUGUAUCACUAAAAUGGGAUAAAGUAAACAAAAUGUUAGAUGAUGCCCUGGCAUUUAAUACUGUGGAAAUCAUCUUAUAUAAAGAUUAAAAGAAGGAGGCAUUAAAAUCCCAAAUAGCAUGACUUUAUGAAAUGGAUCACUUAGAAAUGUGGUUUGUGGUUUCAUUUUGUAUGACACAUUGGCAUAUAUACACAAAACAAAUUGCUUUGCGUAUUGUAACAUGCAUUUCCAAGAUCUCCUGCUUUUGGUGAGU
rnacentral:lncRNA from 10 species